rnacentral:rRNA from 1 species
AUGGCAAUAGCACGGACGACCACCAUCAUCUUCUCUGCCAUAAUCGUCAUGCUCUUUUCCUUAGCCACCACUGCUCAGACCAACGAAGACGUUGGUGGCAAGCCUGAGAAGACCCAUUUCCUUGUUGAAGCGUGCAAAAACGCUUCAAUCAACUCAUCUGACGAUCACAUCACAGAAGAAUUCUGCGUCUCGACUCUCCGACAGGACAAGCAGAGUGAUGAGGCAAAGGACCUUCGUGACCUGGCCCUUGUUGGUGUAGACAUCCUCAAGGGACAUAUCAUUGCCGCAAGUGGCAAAGUCAAACAACUUAUGCACAGUGUCAAGAAUGGCACAUCAACAGCACGCCGCCUCAGUUUGUGCGACCUGGACUAUGACGCCGCGGUGACCGUCCUCAAUGUUUGCAACACCAUGCUCAAGGACUACCGUGGUCCCAAAGGCGGUGAAAAGGAUGGACCCCUAUCCUUUUAUUUACCCGACUGUGUGGGUAAUGCAUGCGCCUUUUUCGGCUACUGUGGGCAUGAGCUUGUUGACAUGCCUGGGUGGGAGGCGUUGUACAAAGAAAACAUUGAGCUCGACAAGCUGGGCAACCUCAAUGUUGCCUUGAUGACACCAUAUUGGGAUUUCACCCAAAAUUAG